rnacentral:rRNA from 1 species
AGAGUUUGAUCCUGGCUCAGGAUGAACGCUGGCGGCAGGCCUUAUACAUGCAAGUCGAACGGCAGCACAAAGAUUAGCUUGCUAAUCUUGGUGGCGAGUGGCAAACGAGUGAGUAAUAUAUAGGAACUUCCUUCAAGUAGAACAUAGCCAGUCGAAAGAUUGGGUAAUAUUCUAUGUGGUUGCAAAACUAAAGACGUGAGUCGCUUGAAGCAAGGCCUAUAUCCCAUCAGCUAGUUGGUAAGGUAAUGGCUUACCAAGGCUAAGACGGGUAGCUGGUCUGAGAGGAUGAUCAGCCACGCUGGGACUGCGACACGGCCCAGACACCUACGGGUGGCAGCAGUAGGGAAUUUUCCGCAAUGGGCAAAAGCCUGACGGAGCCAUGCCGCGUGCAGGAUGAAGGCCUUUGGGUUGUAAACUGCUGUGGUAGUUAUCUAAUAAAUGAAGUGACUACUAGAAAGAGGUUGCUAACUCUGUGCCAGCAGCAGCGGUGAUACAGAGACCUCAAGCGUUAUCCGGAAUUAUUGGGCGUAAAGCGUUCCGAUCGGUGGUUAGAUGUGUCUAAAAUUAAAGACCGGAGCUUAACUCCGUGUUAGUUUUAGAAACUAUCUAACUAGAAGAAUAAAGAGGUGGCUGGAACUCUGCAAGUACCGGUGAAAUGGGUUGAUAUGCAGGGGAACACCGAAAGCGAAGGCAGGCCACUAGGUAUUUCUUGACACUGCUAGGACGAAAGCGUGGGGAGCGAAGCGGAUUAGAUACCCGCGUAGUCCACGCCCUAAACGAUGAGUGUUUGUUUUUGGAGAGAGUCAACCCUCUUCAGAGGCGUAGCUAACGCGUUAAACACUCCGCCUGUAGAGUACGGUCGCAAGGCUAAAACAUAAAGGAAUUGACGGGAACCCGCACAAGCGGUGGAUCAUGUGGCUUAAUUCGAUAGUGAGCGGCGAACCUUACCUAGGCUUGACAUGCUACUGCUAAUCCUACGAAAGUAGGACUCCUUCGAGGGUGUAGCACAGGUGAUGCACGGUCGUCGUCAGCUCGUGUCGUGAGAUGUUCGGUUAAGUCCGGCAACGAGCGCAACCCUAAUCCUUAGUUAUUUAAUGUCUAAGGAGACUGCCCGAGUUUAAUCGGGAGGAAGGUUAGGAUGACGUCAGAUCAGCGUGUCCCUUACGUCUAGGGCGGCACACAUGAUACAAUGGGUAGAGUACAGCGGGACUGCCAAGUCGCGAGACGGAGCAAAUCCUUCAAAACUCCCCUCAGUACGGAUCGAAGUCUGCAACCCGACUUCGUGAAGCUGGAAUCGCUAGUAAUCGCCGAUCAGCCAUGCGGCGGUGAAUACGUUCUCGGGUUUUGUACACACUGCCCGUCACGGCCUGGGAAUUGGAAAAGCCCCAAAACUCCAUUUAUGGAGUCGAAGGCUAGUCCAUUGACUGGGUUGAAGUCGUAACAAGGCAUCCGUAGCGGAAGCUGUGGAUG